UGGGUUGGUAAAUCUCGUGCCAGCCACCGCGGUUAGACGAGAGGCUCAAAAUUAACACUCUUUCGGCGUAAAGCGUGAUUAGAGCCACAACACACUAAAGCCAAACACCUCCUAAGCUGUCAUACGCAACCAGAGGCAGGAAGCCCCCCAACGAAAGUAGCUUUAAUAAACAUUUUGAAUUCACGACAGUUAAGAAACAAACUGGGAUUAGAUACCCCACUAUGCUUAACCAUAAACAACGAUGACAAUAUACAAAUAUCAUCCGCCAGGGGACUACGAGCGCCAGCUUAAAACCCAAAGGACUUGGCGGUGCCUUAAACCCACCUAGAGGAGCCUGUUCUAUAACCGAUGAUCCCCGUUUAACCUCACCACCCCUUGUUAAUCCCGCCUAUAUACCGCCGUCGCCAGCUUACCUUAUGAAAGCACAACAGUAAGCCAAAUGGGUAUCACCCAAAACGUCAGGUCGAGGUGUAGCGAAUGGGGUGGGAAGAAAUGGGCUACAUUUUCUGCCCCAGAAUAUUACGAAAAGUGCCAUGAAAACAGCACUAAUGA
rnacentral:rRNA from 1 species